CACACAUCUGGACAUGGACAUGGAGAAGCUGAAGGAGAAUCCAGGGAGGGGGAAAGCAGUUACAGGCCCACAUGCUGCUUCAUGCUGCCAAGGUUCAUCUGGAUCCACAGAUGAGCAACAGCAUGUUUUUUGCACGUCUGAUGACCUAUGGCUCCACCUGGACCCAACAACCAUGCCUGUGACCUCACCUGUGACCAGCACUACAGAAGGACCAUUUCUCACACCCAUAUGAUUGCACCCCCAAUCAAUCAGCAGCAAACACCCAUUGCUCUAUCCACUCCCACCCCUUCCCCCAAACUACCUUUGAAAAAUCCUGCCCCAAAAUGCUCUAGCAGGCUGAUUUGAGUCAGAAUAAAAUACCAGUCUUCCGUUAGCUGGCUCUACGUGUAAAAAUCUCUCUAUUGCAAUUCCCCUGCCUUGAUAAAUUGGCUUCAUCUGGGCAGCAUGCAAGAAUGUAAUCAUUGGGUGGUUACAUUAGGAGGUCCUGUUUUCUACUUUAUAAUCCUUCUGAUUUCUGUAAAAUUGGAAGAAACGUCCCCUCUUUCAUUUCUUAUUUUAGUUAUUUAAUUCUUCUCUCAUUUUUUCUUAAUGUAGCUAAAGAUUUGUAAAUUUUGAUCUUUUUAAA
rnacentral:lncRNA from 1 species